UCAAUAGCUGAAAUAAUAUCAACUGCAGAGGGAAACAAAGAAUCCCGUCAUGAUCCUUAAGACUCCACUGCACAGUCGUGUAAAUAAUAUUAUACAUCUUGUUAAAUAUGUUUAAACUUUCAUUUUCCGAUCUCCUUUUUUUCCCCUCUUUUCUUAACUUUUACCACUUCUAGCUGUCCUACCCUCAACAUUAAAAGUUCUUUCUUAUCUGAAAGUUUUUGUUUGAUGUAUGGGAUAAAAGCAUAAAAUUCACCCCUUCACGUGAAAUGCAUGUUUCUUGCUGUUUAACAAAUAGAGAUGGUUCUUUUCAAAACAAAAAAAUGUAACGGUUCUGCUUGUAUCAUUUGUAGGCUGAUACCAAGAGAAAUGAUGAUGGGGGCAAUAACCACAGGGGGAAAGUAAAAGAAAAAAAAUUCAACAAGUAGAGAUGAAG
rnacentral:misc_RNA from 1 species